rnacentral:rRNA from 1 species
GACGAACGCUGGCGGCGUGCUUAACACAUGCAAGUCGAACGGAAAGGCCCUGCUUUUGUGGGGUGCUCGAGUGGCGAACGGGUGAGUAACACGUGAGUAACCUGCCCUUGACUUUGGGAUAACUUCAGGAAACUGGGGCUAAUACCGGAUAGGAGCUCCUGCUGCAUGGGGGGGGUUGGAAAGUUUCGGCGGUUGGGGAUGGACUCGCGGCUUAUCAGCUUGUUGGUGGGGUAGUGGCUUACCAAGGCUUUGACGGGUAGCCGGCCUGAGAGGGUGACCGGCCACAUUGCGACUGAGAUACGGCCCAGACUCCUACGGGAGGCAGCAGUGGGGAAUAUUGCACAAUGGGCGGAAGCCUGAUGCAGCAACGCCGCGUGCGGGAUGACGGCCUUCGGGUUGUAAACCGCUUUCGCCUGUGACGAAGCGUGAGUGACGGUAAUGGGUAAAGAAGCACCGGCUAACUACGUG